CUCGGAGGCGGGCGCCCCGGCAGGGCGGGGCAGGGAAAAGACUACGCGUCCCUCUUUACGCAGGGGCUAGCCGCAGAUCCCAAGGCCUCCAUCAAACCUUCCUCCCUGGCCGUGAACAAAUGUGACUCCAUCCGGGAACUCCGAGGACUCGGGAAGAGGGAUAGAGUCCUGGGCUGAGACUCAGGAGACCCAUACUCCAGUCCCAACUUCAUCACGGAUUUGCUGUGUGGCUGGACGUUCUGUUCUCUCUCUGGGCCUCAAUGUCCUUCUUCCAAAGGAGGCUUUUAAUAACAAUAGCAG
rnacentral:lncRNA from 1 species